AAUCAAGCGUUUAAGGGCGUGUAGUGGAUGCCUUGGCACUGAAAGCCGAUGAAGGACGUGAUAUACUGCGAUAAGUUUCGGGGAGCUGUAUGUAAGUUUUGAUCCGAAAAUUUCCGAAUGGGGAAACCCACCACUUUAUGUGGUACUUUAAACUGAAUACAUAGGUUUAAAGAGACAACCUGGAGAACUGAAACAUCUAAGUAACCAGAGGAAAAGAAAUCAAUUGAGAUUCCGUUAGUAGUGGCGAGCGAACGCGGACUAGGCCAGUAAUUUUGUUAAAAAAAUUUGAAUAGUUUGGAAAUGCUAACCAUAGAGGGUGAUAGUCCCGUAUGAGUAAUGUUUAACAAAAUUCUUGAGUAAAGCGGGACACGAGAAAUCCUGCUCGAAUAUAGGGGGACCACCCUCUAAGCCUAAAUACUCUUCAGUGACCGAUAGUGAACUAGUACCGUGAGGGAAAGGUGAAAAGAACCCCUAUUAGGGGAGUGAAAUAGAACCUGAAACUGCAUGCCUACAAUCAGUCGAAGCUCUUUUUAGAGUGACGGCGUACCUUUUGUAUAAUGGGUCAGUGACUUAAUUUAUUAAGCAAGCUUAAGCCAUCUAGGUGUAGGCGCAGCGAAAGCAAGUCUUAAUAGGGCGAUUAGUUUAAUGAAUUAGACCCGAAAACGAAUGAGCUUACCAUGAGCAGGUUGAAAGUUGGGUAACACCAACCGGAGGACCGAACCAGUUGACGUUGAAAAGUCUUUGGAUGACUUGUGGUAAGGGGUGAAAGGCCAACCAAAUUCGUAGAUAGCUGGUUUUCCGCGAAAACUAUUUAGGUAGUGCGUUGAAUAAAAAGAUGUUUAGAGGUAGAGCACUAAAUGGGCUAGGGGGAAGAGAUUCUUACCAAACCUAAUAAAACUCCGAAUGCUAGACAUUGUUCUUCAACAGACAGACUGUGGGUGCUAAGGUCCAUGGUCGAGAGGGAAAGAGCCCAGACCACCAGAUAAGGUCCCAAAAUUAUGAUUAAGUGUGAAAGGAUGUGGAAAUUCCUUAACAGCCGGGAGGUUGGCUUAGAAGCAGCCAUCCUUUAAAGAUAGCGUAACAGCUCACCGGUCUAAUAGAGUUUCUGCGCCGAAGAUGUAACGGGGCUAAAAUCAUAUACCGAAUCUGUGGGUUUAUAAAACUUUCGAGUUUUAUAAGCGGUAGCGGAACGUUCUGUAAGCCUGUGAAGGGAUACCCGUGAGGGAUCCUGGAGGUAUCAGAAGUGCGAAUGCUGACAUAAGUAACGAUAAAAGAAGUGAAAAACUUCUUCGCCGAAAAUCCAAGGGUUUCUGCGCAAGGUUAAUCCGCGCAGAGUUAGUCGGCACCUAAGGCGAGGGCGAAAGCCGUAGUCGAUGGAAAUAAGGUUAAUAUUCCUUAACCAGAUGGUAGUGACGGAUCUUGUAAGUUGUGAGUUCUUAAUGGAUUGAGCUUGCCGCGAAAAGGUUCCAAGAAAUAGCUCCAUCAUUAGACCGUACCCUAAACCGACACAGGUGGAUUAAUAGAGUAUAUUUAGGCGCUUGAGAGAAUGAUGUUGAA
rnacentral:rRNA from 1 species